UGGGAGCCUUUACGGCAAACCUGCUGGGUAGCUGCCCCUGGGAUGAGGAUGGAGUGUCUGUUCAGCGCUUUGGACAUCUGGGCUGGUUCAGCAGACAGAGUGGGUCUGGAGGUCAGGAGAAACGGGUUCUAGCCCCACAUUGGCCUAUUAUCCUCAGAGGAGGGUGCUGAGGCUCAGAGAGGUGAACUGACUGGAAUCUAGACUGGCUUGCCUCCACACGUGGCUCUUUUAACCCUGACACCUGGGGAAGCAGAUGGCAGGAAGAAGAACGUGGCUCCGGGACUCUGAGAGCUGAGGCUGAUAUUUGUGGAGUGUCUGCUAUGUGCCAAACCCUUUCAGGAUAUUAGGGAAUCGGAAAGGACAGUCAUUCUCCAGUGGAUGCAAUAUACUCGGAGAUGAGGCUAUUCCAAGAACCCAAACGCUUCACAACUCUACUCUCCUGCCUUUGGCUGCUUCUUUCUUCCUUUGAAAAGGAGGCUGGACUGACUGGGGAAUCAUCCUGAGACCGGACCUUGAAGCGAGUCUGUUUGAGCCCCUCCGUCUCCAGGGGUCUGCAUGAGGCUGCUCACCAGGCUAAUCUUGGCCCAGAGGGACUCGAGGUACCGACGAAGAUGAAAAGGCAGCUGGUAAAUCAGUGAUGGCAGCCAGCCUUGCUUACAGCUCCGGAGGGGCCUGGAUAAGGGGAGGUGAUCCCUGUAGUGAACCUUUUAGUGGGACUUGAGCAGUUUUGGAAAUUUGAUGGAUAACAAGUGUAUAACACUGAUAGUGGGCUUUGCGGUGAGGUUCCUGACACAGGUUCCAAUUCUUCUCCAUCCAGGAACAGACCUGGGGUUUGAAUGGCACUGGCUCCACCCCAGGCUCCAGGACUGGCCACCCCAUCCCUCUACUGGGCAGCAGGGGGACAUAACCCGAGUCAAAGCCAACCAGUGGAGGGUUCGGGUACUGUUAGGUUAGAGCAAAGCUCAGGACUUUUGUUGCUAUGAGGUGGGAAUUUCCGUCAACCGCAUUUUACAGACAGGAAAGAUGAAGCUAAGAAAGUAGGAUAGAUUGGAUUAUUGUUCAGCAACUCUUCAGUCCCCUUCUUGAGGCAGAAUAGAUUUUCCUGUCCCACUGACUUUGUCAUUGGCCACGUGACUUACUUUGGCCAACAGACUGUUAGUGGAAGAGACAGGAUGCCUCUUGAGAGGAAGCCUUAGGAGACAUCACACGCUCCUGCCCUAUGUCUUGCCUAUUUGUGUUCUGUCACAACAGAAUAUAUCCCAUUUGGAUUCUGAUACCAAAAUAAUGUGAAGACACACGGGGCACACUUGAGCCCAAGUCACAGCCUAGAGUCAAGUUCAACUGACCUACGGCCUGAAACAGAACUACCUAGUUGAGUCCAGCCUAGAUCAACCAGUUGCAGUCAACCUACAGACCAAUGAGAAUAAAUGUGUAGGAGGUCUCUGAGGGCUUGAGGUUGUUUGUUAAACAGCAUCAUUAUGGCAAAAGCUGACUAUUCCAUAAGUGUUAAGUGAUUCUGUGAAGGUCACACAGCUAAUGAACGGAAGAGCCAGAGUCUAGAAUUUUGGCCUCCCUAUUCACUGCUUAACUGCAGUUUUCAGGUAGAGGAACCAGUAAUGAGAACAGAACUGGGACUGAGGGUUCUCUGUAGGCAUUACGAACUUCCUCUAGCUUGCUUUCUUUAUCUGUCUACUGGAAAUAGCAAACCCAGUGUAUAUGUACGCAUCUCUGCUACUCCUGUGAUUUCAUCACCAUACAUCUCAAGUUUGGAGAUGGUGAGUUUUGGGAAAGAAAACUGUAUUAGCAAUCUUUCUUUUGUAUGAACUUUAAGGAACCUUGGCAAGACAACUAGACUGAUGUUUCUCCCCUUACUGAGGGCCGUUUGAUGGGUAAGCCAACUUUCUGUUAAAAGAGUCUCUUUCUUAGGGACUUAAUAUCCUUUAGGUAUAUUUAUGGAUAUGAAUUUUCCUUUGAGUAUUGCUUUGGCUGCAUCCUAUAAGUUUUAGUAUUCAACGCUCUCAUUUUAUUUAAUGUCCAAAUAGUAUGAAACAUCUAAGUAGGCUGUAAUUUCCUUUUGAAUUCCCUCUUUAUCUCAAGAGUUAUUUGGAAAAGAGUUUUCAAAUUUCUACCAAGUUAGAUUAAAAGAACCCUCUCUAGCUAUUAAUUUAAUUUUUUUAUUUCACUGUGUUGAGAAUGUGUUUUACUUUGGAGUUUGUUGAAAUUGUCUUUGUGCCUGAAUACCAUGUUUAUCAUUUAA